AUUGAACGCUGGCGGCAGGCUUAACACAUGCAAGUCGAGCGGGGGAAGGUAGCUUGCUACCGGACCUAGCGGCGGACGGGUGAGUAAUGCUUAGGAAUCUGCCUAUUAGUGGGGGACAACAUCUCGAAAGGGAUGCUAAUACCGCAUACGUCCUACGGGAGAAAGCAGGGGAUCUUCGGACCUUGCGCUAAUAGAUGAGCCUAAGUCGGAUUAGCUAGUUGGUGGGGUAAAGGCCUACCAAGGCGACGAUCUGUAGCGGGUCUGGGAGGAUGAUCCGACACACUGGGACUGAGACACGGCCCAGACUCCUACGGGAGGCAGCAGUGGGGAAUAUUGGACAAUGGGGGGAACCCUGAUCCAGCCAUGCCGCGUGUGUGAAGAAGGCCUUAUGGUUGUAAAGCACUUUAAGCGAGGAGGAGGCUACUUUAGUUAAUACCUAGAGAUAGUGGACGUUACUCGCAGAAUAAGCACCGGCUAACUCUGUGCCAGCAGCCGCCGUAA
rnacentral:rRNA from 1 species